UACGUAGGGUGCAAGCGUUAAUCGGAAUUACUGGGCGUAAAGCGUGCGCAGGCGGUGAUGUAAGACAGAUGUGAAAUCCCCGGGCUCAACCUGGGAACUGCAUUUGUGACUGCAUCGCUAGAGUACGGCAGAGGGGGAUGGAAUUCCGCGUGUAGCAGUGAAAUGCGUAGAUAUGCGGAGGAACACCGAUGGCGAAGGCAAUCCCCUGGGCCUGUACUGACGCUGAGGAGCGAAAGCGUGGGGAGCGAACAGG
rnacentral:rRNA from 1 species